CCUACGGGAGGCAGCAGUGAGGAAUAUUGGUCAAUGGCCGGAAGGCUGAACCAGCCAAGCCGCGUGAAGGACGAAUGUGCCAAGCAUUGUAAACUUCUUUUGUCAAGGGACAAAAUCAGUCUCGAGAGCCUGACCGACGGUACUUGACGAAAAAGCAUCUGCUAACUCCGUGCCAGCAGCCGCGGUAAUACGGAGGAUGCGAGCGUUAUCCGGAUUUAUUGGGUUUAAAGGGUGCGUAGGCGGAAUGUUAAGUCAGCGGUAAAAUCCCGGGGCUCGAACCCGCCGCGCCAUUAAGACUGUAGAUGUAGAGAACAGACGAGGUAGGCGGAAUAAGGUAAGUAGCGGUGAAAUGAAUAGAUAGAGCUGAGAACACCGAUAGCGAAGGCAGCUUACCAGAGUGAGUCUGAAGCUGAUGCACGAGAGCAUGGGUAGCGAACAGGAUUAGAUAGCCCAGUAGUC
rnacentral:rRNA from 1 species